GGGUGAUGGGGGAAGCCUUACUUUGCUGACCGCCUUUAAAAGCUGUUUCUAACAUCGCUUAUUCAUGGUUCCUGGGAGUGAGGUCAUGACCUCAGAAUUCUUACCACCUUGGCUUGCUUAAAGGAGCUACAAACAACAACAACAACAACAAUAACAACAACAACAUAGCCUCUUUCACCUUUCUUAGAUCGAAAUGGUUUGACAGUGCUGAUAUUGGAACCUUCUCUAUUUUCCUUAUGGGAUAAUGCUCCCAAAAGCUAUUGGAGCUGGAAUUCUCUGUCUUCUGGCUGGCACCCUAGCAUCUCAAGAUGCUGUUCCUGUGUGUGGAAUGACAGGACAAUCCAUCACUCUUCAAGCAGAAGUACCAAAUGUACACGAGGAGGUCAUUCAGUGGGCACACAAUAACACAAUCAUUGCACAUUGGGAUGAAGAAGAGCAACAAACAAAAUGCCUUUUUCUAAACACGGAGUUUGACAAGCAAACGUUGUCUCUAACCAUCUCAGAUCUCAAAUCAAAUUGGAGUGGCUUUUAUGCAUUUAAAAUAAAUAAUGACGUAUGUAUCAGCUCACUGUAACUGGUGAGUCAUUGCUGAGUUUUUUUCCCCUUGUGUUGAUCAGCCAAACAGCUUUAGUCUUUAAAUGUGGUAAAAGUAAACUAUAAACAAAGCAUUGCUUUAAAAUGUAAUAGACCAACAAAAGAUGAAAUGGAUGUGCUGAAAAAAAGCUUUAUUAACACAACAGACAAUUGCAAGUCUGCCAAUCAUUUCUAUUCUCAAAUGUAUCAUUUCAAUCUAAUACACCUGAAGAGAAUAGUGAAAAAACGACAAACCACGUCAGAGAUUUAAGAAAAAGAUUAAAAAAAAAAAAAAGUCUGAACAGCAAUACACAUCAAAACAGAGGAAGGAGAUACCAUGUAUGAUUGUGACGCUUCUGUAUCAAUACCUAAAGGUCUUUACAUGAUUCCUGCAUUGGUGCUCUCACAUAAUGUGUGUUCCACCUAUGCAUAUUUUAACUAUGAUAGCACAGACUUUAAAUGAAGACAAAAUAUAGGGCAUGGGGGAGCUGCCUGGCAACGACACAUAGAAAUACAGAGCUCAUGCUUAAUGGCAUAAUGGCAGUAUUUGUGUGAGAAAACGUGUCUUUAGCAUGCAAAAAUAGAGCAUCAUAUUAAACAACAACAGCAACGGGGCACCUUUUCCCUUUUUCCAGUAAGAACUGAUCAUCUAACUUUCAUCCUACUGUAGGUAUCAUUGAUGUACUUUCAUGUAGUCUACCUAAACUACACAGAUCUGUUGUCUACUGUGAGUAACCCAAUAAAAUAUCUUACCAUGCCUCAGACAAGACUUUCUGACCAAAAGUAAUACAGUAAUUUAUAUAUUUAAAAAUCCAUCUGUUAUAUUGUGGAGGAAGCCGCUGUUGGCCCAGGUGUGGAGACCAGACUAAUGGCCAAAGGUUCAAUGUAUGACUGUCUUAUCUGGUGCCCAGGUGCCAUGACCUAGAAUUAAUCCUGCCCAGUUGCUGCCUGAUACAACAGAUUCCUUGAAACUACUGAAAGUAAGUAACUACACAGAACUACAGAUUAACAAUGAACAAUACAUUACAAUUCGAUUUCUGAAUACAAUGAAAAUUCAAAUAUGUUUUCUAACAUGAUUACGCAAUGAUUGAGCUAAGUCAAGAAUAAAAGCAUGAAGAUGUAAUACUUCUAGUAAUAAUACACAACCAAAACAAAUGCAUUCUUAAAUAAUAUGACAAAUAUAAAUAGUGCAUAGAUAAUCUAUUUACACAUCUGAGGACCUUUGAACUAUAGGGGCUAUCUCCUUAUCCGAGUGGCAAGGGGUAGGACAUUUCAUUUUUUGACCCCAGGUGGGAGUGUCACUGGAAUGGAGACCUUAUAAAGGACAUUUUCGCAUGUUUCUGGAGACCUUAUAAAGAUCCACCUUAUUGUUCUACAACUGCGCCCCUUAUAGGCCCACUCCUCACACAGACCAUUAAAAUGAUAUCAACCCCCAAUGUGCUGACACCCUCUACUCACUAAAUAGAUUUCACCCCUAAAAUGUGGCCAGGUGUGACCCCAGAAUGACCUGUGUCCAGGAGAAGGGAGAGGGGCAUGACCCCAGAAUGACCUGUGCCCAGGAGAAGGGAGAGUGAGGGGGGGUCAGGAGGCAAACAAUGUCCAUCAGCUCACACAAACGUCACAAGACAGAGGUGCAUCAGAAUAUACAAUACAAUUAAUAUUCUUGACUUAGAAUAAAUGGUGGGACUCAUUUUACGCCUCAAAUGUACAAAUAUGUUUUUGUUGUCAAUGUUACUAUUAUUAUGCUACCAAAGCUGCAAACAUUGAUUUAGACUUUGAACAAUGCCACCUGACAGUGUUUUCUGUUAAUGGCAAUAUAUUCUGUAAAAUUUCCAAUUAACACCUAGGCAUUCAUUUGCUUGAAUAACUUGCCAUGUAGACAGUGAAAACCCCACAUUAACUACAAAAACAAAAACAAAACAAAUAUCAACACCAGUCUUUUUUUGUAAACUAACAUGACGUAGAGACAUUAUUUGACUUCAAACACAGAUAGUGACAUGCUGAAGACGCUGCAUAUAGUAUGUUUUCACUGCAACUUACUAAUGGGGAGGAAAUAGACAGUACACGAGGAACUCUAGCUGCCUAAUGAUAAUAGAUAUUUACUAUGUAAAUAUUCAGGUUCCUUUGUCGUCUAACAUACCAGUGUUUGGCUUUUCUUGAUUUUCCUCACCUCCAUCAGGCUCCUUCUGCUCUCAUGACAUACAAACAACUGAUCUGCACUUCUGACACAUCAUCAUGUGAUGGAUCUUGGUUAGCUUAAG
ensembl:lncRNA